CGUGCUUAAUACAUGCAAGUCAACUUGACUUUAGAUAGCAAUAUCGAAAAGUAGGGUGGCGCACGGGUGCGUAACGCGUAGGUAUCUGCCCUGAGGUCUGACAUAACCCGUCGAAAGGCGGGCUAACAUCAGAUGAUAUAUAAUCACGACAUCGUGGAAAUAUCAAAUCUUCGGAGCCUUGGGAUGAGCCUGCGUCUGAUUAGGUAGUUGGCGGAGUAAUAGCCCACCAAGCCUACGAUCAGUAGCUGGUCUGAGAGGAUGAUCAGCCACACUGGAACUGAGACACGGUCCAGACUCCUACGGGAGGCAGCAGUAAGGAAUAUUGCUCAAUGGGGGAAACCCUGAAGCAGCAACGCCGCGUGAAGGAUGAAAUACUUUUGUAUGUAAACUUCUGUAAGAUGGGAAAAAUAUUCUCCUCGGGAGAACUGAUUGUACCAUCAGAGUAAGCCCCGGCUAACUACGUG
rnacentral:rRNA from 1 species